rnacentral:tRNA from 1 species
GGAGAGAUGUCCGAGCGGUUUAAGGAGCACGCUUGGAAAGCGUGUGUAGGGAAACUUACCGUGGGUUCAAAUCCCACUCUCUCCG